rnacentral:rRNA from 1 species
ACGCCGCGGGGAGGAUGAAGGCCUUCGGGUUGUAAACUCCUGUCAGGAGGAACGACGGGGAAAGGGUGACAAAUCCUUCCCUCCAGACGGUACCUCCAAAGGAAGCCCCGGCUAAUUCCGUGCCAGCACCGCGGUAAUA